GUUGCCGCUCAAUCACCAAAAUCACAAACAAUGGCCUAAAUGGUGCCAUGUUCGUUACACACAGUACUACUAAAGGUUGGCGCAGUUGGAGAGAGUUGACUCAGGUCACAUGCACAGUACUACUAAAGUACCUGAUCUGCACUGCAAGUCCUCGCCCCAAGUCUUCCAUGGAAAGGUUGGCGUUCGUUUUUGUUAGAUAUUUCCUGCCGUGAAAGGCCAGGCACAAGAAUAUUCUCAUCUUCUGAGCUCUAAAGUCUUCCGAGCGCUUCCAAAAAAAAGAAGUCUUCCGAGCACAAGGCUGUCAUGUCCUUUUUUCCAAUCGAACAUCUUGGCUGCUUCCAGCUUGCACGCUUGAUGUAUAACGUUGCAAGUGAUACCGCAUAGUAUCGCAAAUUUAGGGGCUACAAUUUGACAUUGUCCAAUUUGUACAUGUUCGAUCUUUGUUAGUGUCCUUUCACUACUGUCCCUUCUAGUCUUCAAAGACAGAGCACCAAUUUAGAAAAAAAGUUAUCUGGUGAUUAGGAUCGCAUGGCCUAGUACAAAUCUACAAAUGCGUCUCAACCGUCACAAACUAAUAUUCAGUAGAAAGUGUACCACCAUAGAAUUGUGGUCUAGAUAUGUACAAAUUUUUGAAAUAAGUAUAGAAAAUAGAGUAAAAUGCACAGGAGAUCCCUAAACUUGUAAGAGUGUCCUUUUUAAGUCCGUCAACUCCGGAAGUGCAUUUCUGGAUCCAUAAACUGUUAAGUUAUUCACUAUAUGUCCAUAUGUAUGUAUCCACGUGUGCAUGUAAUCCUGACAUGACACGCUUACGAUACAUUUCUCAUCUCAUUUAUCGCCCUUUUCUCUCGAUCUAUUCGAUCCAACCCCGCUCGGGCUAUCGUGCUUUCUAUGUCGCCCUCCGAUCCGCCCACCACGUCCACUAGUGCGUCCACCGCAUGACCAGACAUGGCGCACACCAAUGUCAUCGCUGAUGUGGCUCCACCCUCCACAGCGGGAGGCACCCCAAGUGGCGGCCUUGGGUGGCCCCAUCAAGUGGUGGGAUUGACAAGCAACCCACCAGCCAAGAGGAAGAGGAGGGAGACAGCAUGGUGGAGAAAAAAAUCAGAGGCAAAUGCGUCAAUUCUCAUCAUAAUCCAUGUUGGUAGUCUUGGAAACGUACAAUCAACGUGCCAUAUUAGCGUCACGUGCAUACAUGGAUAUAUAUGGACAUGUAGUGAACAACUUAAAAACUUUAUGGAUCCUGAAAUGCAGUUUCAGAGUUUUUGGACCUAAGAAGUGACACACCCUCGUAGGUUUAGAGACUGUCGGUGUAUUUUACUAGAAAAUAAUUAGACACUUUGAAAUUGAUUUGCAAAGAUAUGGGCUUGUAACUAUUUUUUCCCUGAUAAUUUUUAGGUAGAGUAAACUGCAUCUCCGUUUGGUUUCCACGAUACUUUAUGCUACUAUACUGUACUAAGGUAAUUUGUUCUAUGCAGAUACUCGAGGAGUAAUCAAAAUCGGGACAGGAAUUGCAGCAGCAGCUCUUCUGUUUGUGAUCAUACUGACCGUUCUCUCCCUUCAGAUCAAGCUACGCAAGAGACGGUAUAGAGGCAAUGAAUCUAAUAUAGAGGAAAUACUAAAGGGAUAUGAUUCUCUCAUCCCAAAAAGGUACAGAUACUCGGAUCUAAAGAAAAUAACUGGAUCCUUCAAAGAUAAUCUGGGAGAAGGUGGCUAUGGCACGGUAUUCAAGGGUAAUUUAAAAGAUGGCCGCAAGGUUGCCGUGAAACUACUGAAGCAAUCAAAAGGAAAUGGAGAGGAGUUCGUGAAUGAGGUUGUAAGUUUCCGUAAGACAUCACAUGUCAAUAUUGUUAACUUACUCGGUUUUUGUUUA